AUGAGAGUGGCGCACGGGUGCGUAACACGUAUGUAACCUACCUUAGUCAGGGGGAUAGCCUCUCGAAAGAGAGAUUAAGACCGCAUAACAUCAUUUACUGGCAUCGUAUAAUAAUCAAAUAUUUAUAGGACUAAGAUGGGCAUGCGCAACAUUAGCUAGUUGGUGUGGUAACGGCAUACCAAGGCUACGAUGUUUAGGGGAUCUGAGAGGAUGACCCCCCACACUGGUACUGAGACACGGACCAGACUCCUACGGGAGGCAGCAGUAAGGAAUAUUGGUCAAUGGACGGAAGUCUGAACCAGCCAUGCCGCGUGCAGGAAGACGGCCCUACGGGUUGUAAACUGCUUUUGCAGGGGAAUAAACCUCAUUACGUGUAAUGAGUUGAAUGUACCUUGAGAAUAAGGAUCGGCUAACUCCGUGCCAGCAGCCGCGGUAAUACGGAGGAUCCAAGCGUUAUCCGGAUUUAUUGGGUUUAAAGGGUGCGUAGGCGGCUUUUUAAGUCAGGGGUGAAAGACGGUAGCUCAACUAUCGCAGUGCCCUUGAUACUGAAGAGCUUGAAUGUACUUGAGGUAGGCGGAAUGUGACAAGUAGCGGUGAAAUGCAUAGAUAUGUCACAGAACACCAAUUGCGAAAGGCAGCUUACUAAAGUAUGAUUGACGCUGAGGCACGAAAGCGUGGGGGAUCAAACAGGAUUAGAUACCCUGGUAGUCCACGCCCUAAACGAUGAACACUCGAUGUUGGCGAUAUACGGUCAGCGUCUAAGCGAAGCGUUAAGUGUUCCACCUGGGGAGUACGCCCGCAAGGAUGAAACUCAAGGAGUUGACGGGGCCGCACAGCGAGAGCAUGUGAUUAUUCGAUGAUACGCGAGCAUCAUUAGCUGGACUGUAAAGUAGUGCAA
rnacentral:rRNA from 1 species